UGCGGUGACGAUGGCGGGAAGGAUCCACCUGUUCCCAUUUCGAACACAGCCGUUAAGCUUCCCAGCGCCGAGGAUAGUGAAGGGUUUCCCUUUGUGAAAGCAGGACGUUGCCGUGCAGCUCUUUU
rnacentral:rRNA from 1 species